UACGGGGGGGGCUAGCGUUGUUCGGAAUUACUGGGCGUAAAGGGCGCGUAGGCGGCCUACUAAGUCGGACGUGAAAUCCCUCGGCUCAACCGGGGAACUGCGUCCGAUACUGGUGGGCUCGAAUCCGGGAGAGGGAUGCAGAAUUCCAGGUGUAGCGGUGAAAUGCGUAGAUAUCUGGAGGAAUACCGGUGGCGAAGGCGGCAUCCUGGACCGGCAUUGACGCUGAGGAGCGAAAGCCAGGGGAGCAAAGCGGGG
rnacentral:rRNA from 1 species